GGGUUGAGGUAUAACCAAAGCAGAACUUGUAAAGAGGUACAAAGUGCAGAUUCUUGCAACCACAAGCGGCCAGAGCAGGACUUAAAAGGAGUUUGCUUACAUCCCUCCUCAUAGCUGUGCUCAUACCUUUUCUCUGAAACCACGUAAAAUAUUUUAUGUGCUACUUUCAGAGCUGUUAGAAACUUGUUAAUGUCCUUUGGAUAGAGGCUCUUUGGGAAGAAGAGUCUGAUGCAGUAUUACCAUAACAGCUUUUCCUGUCUGAUGAGCUACAGCAUUUUCAACAGGCUUAAUCUACCAUGCUGUCACCAUUCCAUUGGUUUAACACAUUGAGAACAUCCAGCAAGAAGCUGGAUAUGGACUACGCGAUGGAACUCAUAACAAAACAACCAGAAGAGUCUGCACUUCUGAAGCAUAUCCAGCUUACAGCUAAUAAUAAUGUAAACUAACACAGUUUUCUCUUCUCUUGUAAUCAACAUGGGAGCUGAGCACUUAAUUAAAAUUGCUGUGUAUAGGA